rnacentral:rRNA from 1 species
CGGACGGGUGAGUAACGCGUAGGAAUCUGCCUACUAGCGGGGGAUAGCCCGAAGAAAUUCGGAUUAAUACCGCAUAAGCCCUACGGGGGAAAGCUGGGGAUCUUCGGACCUGGCACUAGUAGAUGAGCCUGCGUUAGAUUAGCUUGUUGGUGGGGUAAUGGCUUACCAAGGCGACGAUCUAUAGCUGGUCUGAGAGGACGAUCAGCCACACUGGGACUGAGACACGGCCCAG